rnacentral:rRNA from 1 species
UACGUAGGGUGCGAGCGUUAAUCGGAAUUACUGGGCGUAAAGCGUGCGCAGGCGGUUUUGUAAGUCAGAUGUGAAAUCCCCGGGCUUAACCUGGGAAUGGCAUUUGGGACUGCAAGGCUCGAGUGCGGCAGAGGAGACUGGAAUUCCUGGUGUAGCAGUGAAAUGCGUAGAUAUCAGGAGGAACACCGAUGGCGAAGGCAGGUCUCUGGGCUGACACUGACGCUCAUGCACGAAAGCGCGGGGAGCAAACAGG